ACCGAGAAAGAAUUGGGCAAGACGGGCGGAUUGAAUAUUUGUGCACAGCGGAUUGACGAAUGUGAAGGCCUCGAUAAGAUCGAGAAUCUACAGGGUCACGACAACAAUGAGAUAUAUGAGAAGGCCAUAAAACUCUUGGAAAGAUACUGGGUCGAGGAAGAUGAUGAAGAAGAGAAUGUGCAAGGUGCGGGAGCUGCAUUUGAUUUUGGGGCCAGUCAGCCCGCCCUGUCCACCGAUGGCUUCAAAUUUGGUUGAGCAUGUCAUUAUUGGUGAAUUCGAUUUCUUGCAAUCUGCGAGAGGGUCAGGGUUUUUGUGCUGACUUUCUGGUUAAA
rnacentral:misc_RNA from 1 species